rnacentral:lncRNA from 1 species
UUUAAGCAUAUUGUUUAAGCUUCUCUGGUUUUCCUGGUGUGUAGGUAAGGCAUUGGGAUUUCUUUUCUUUUUUUGCAACAGCUUUGGGGUGGUUCUACUUCAGACUGCUAUGGAGUGAGAGUUUCGGCGCUGAUGCGUUGGUUUGGUGUUCACGUCAACUCCUGGUUUUUCUUCUUAGUGUUAGGGUUUCAAUAUGUAGUGGAGUGACUUUUUGUUGGUAUUUUGUAACCCUAUGACAAUAUUUUGGGCAAGAUCCGCCACUAACCCUAUGCCUCUAACACUAUAUUUCUGGUAUGCCUUCUUGAAAACGAGAAGUUAAUUGGAACCUGUAAGUAUGUCCAUCAGUUAGUUAAGUCAAAUGCUAUGGAAAUAGUAAAAGAUAUUAUUAGACUUAACAUUUUUUUGUAGCAUUUCAUUAUUAAGGGUAUAUCAAUGAAAAGGUGGAAACUAGCUAUAGAAGUGGCCACCCUUGCUAAAACACGAGCAAUUUCAUUUUUUAAAGUAAGUUUUAUUCAAAUGAAC